rnacentral:rRNA from 1 species
UACAGAGGGUGCAAGCGUUGUUCGGAAUUAUUGGGCGUAAAGCGCGUGUAGGCGGCUUUGCAAGUCGGGUGUGAAAGCCCUCAGCUCAACUGAGGAAGUGCGCCCGAAACUGCAGAGCUUGAGUGCCGGAGAGGGUGGCGGAAUUCCCCAAGUAGAGGUGAAAUUCGUAGAUAUGGGGAGGAACACCGGUGGCGAAGGCGGCCACCUGGACGGUAACUGGACGCUGAGACGCGAAAGCGUGGGGAGCAAACAGG